CCAGUCUCACACAUGUGCAACCGUAUGUUGUACACAAUUUAUUAAAAGUUACUCACUUUAGAAGUUUAAAGAUCCAUCACUACAUGUUUUCAACCAAUAUGGUCAGGCAUUAAUAUUAUUGGUCAAGGAAACUGCUGUCUUCUCUGGUUGCCUUGUUGUUACUGUAUAAGUCCUCUCCGUGUUCAUAUGUGUAUAUAACGUGUACAUUUAACUAUCAGAGUUUAUGUGUGUGAAAUUUGUUAUGUGUUGGGUAGUAAAACUUUAAUUUAGUAUUCAGUGCCAAGCUUAUUCUAAAUGGAUCUGUUUAAAGUUCAUUACUAUUUGUUUGAAUUAAUUUUCUCCUUAUUAGUAGAGUGAAACUGGUAUUUGCAAUACUUGCCUUGAACAAGAUUUGCUGGUUGUGGGGCAGGUGGGAUGUGGGCAGAAUAGUAUCUUUUUUGUCUCUUCAUGCAGAUAUUAGCUUCCUGGUGGAUACAGGUGUCCAGCCUGAACAGUGUGUUGUUAUGGAAGUUUCCCGGCAGCCUUGAUUGGAUUGUAGAAUUGCUGCUGGUAACAGGAAGGGAAUAGUGGACGGGGUUAACAGCAGAGUUUGCCGUUAGUAGCAUCACUUCUUUGGCAACAAGUUUUCUUAUUUCUGCCAUUCUGCAACAGAGAUGAAACACGUGCACGAUAGAGAAUGCCAUUCUAUAACUGUGAGACGUUGAGGGAGAGCACAGCUCUUUUUUGAGACUUAUUUUGGAAGUCAUUUUGUGGCAAGUUGUUGGAAAGUCUUCGUGUUGUGGUAACUUUUUUUAAGGUGUGUUGGUACUUGGUCACUGCAAAAAAUCACAGAAAACACAGUGGAGCACCUUUUGUAAUGGAUUAAGUAGAAAGGCGAACGGGUGUGUGGACAUUACAAGAUAUUACUUGAACAUUUCAAGAUGAAUCCCUGUCAUGGGGCAAGGUGCAUAGUCUCUCCUGGUAUCGUUGCCCAGUUUGAAGACAGACAUUGGCCAUGCCUUGAGAAUAGUGGAACCUGAAGGCAGUAUCUUGUUUCAUUCAGCAGGCAUUAAUAUCGAGAUGAAUUGGGAACUAGGAUUACGGAUUACUGAAAACUUAGGAAUUAUUAUGAACGAAAUUUCUGGAAUACUAAAUGAUAAUUAUUUGGAAUGAUUGGUUUAAUAUUUUUGAUAGUUGACAAACAGUUCUUGAGACAUGACAGUUGAAUACCUUGAAGUGUUGCAGUUCCAUUUAUUAUUAAGAAGCAGUCCUUAGUUAAGCAUUGUUUAUAAAUUAACCCCAAAAUU